GACGAACGCUGGCGGCGUGCUUAACACAUGCAAGUCGAACGGAAAGGCCCUGCUUGCAGGGUACUCGAGUGGCGAACGGGUGAGUAACACGUGGGUGAUCUGCCCUGCACUUCGGGAUAAGCCUGGGAAACUGGGUCUAAUACCGGAUAGGAGCCAUUUUUAGUGUGAUGGUUGGAAAGUUUUUUCGGUGUAGGAUGAGCUCGCGGCCUAUCAGCUUGUUGGUGGGGUAAUGGCCUACCAAGGCGGCGACGGGUAGCCGGCCUGAGAGGGUGGACGGCCACAUUGGGACUGAGAUACGGCCCAGACUCCGACGGGAGGCAGCAGUGGGGAAUAUUGCACAAUGGGGGCAAGCCUGAUGCAGCGACGCCGCGUGGGGGAUGACGGCCUUCGGGUUGUAAAAUCCGUUCGCUAGGGACGAAGCUUUUUGUGACGGUACCUAGAUAAGAAGCACCGGCUAACUACGUG
rnacentral:rRNA from 1 species